ensembl:lncRNA
CUAGAAUCGGGUAAAGUAUUCUAUUAUACACAGACGGCUCUAGUCACAUGACGACAGGAGGAAAGCGAGUGAUUGGAUAUGCUCUGUGUGAUGAUGUGGAAGCAUUUAAAGCUGGCCCAUUGCCGCAUCAAUUUCAGCUCAGGGAGUUGCGCUUGUCGGUUGCCAGCAGGGGAGGAUGCUACAAUGUACACAGACUCUCUCUAUGCGUUAGGAGUGGUUCAUGAUUUUGGGACUCUGUGGUCACAAAGGGGCAUGCUAACUGCGACAGGAACACCAAUUAAACAUGGACACGAAGUAGAGGCAUUACUAGAAGUGUGUCUAUUACCCAGUAGACUAGCUGUGGUAAAAUGUGAAGCUCACACCAGUCGUACUGAUAAGAUAGCAGUAUGGAAUUUCCGAGCAGAUGAGGCGGCGAAAGCGGAGCCACAAUCUAAAACAGAAGAUGCGACCAAACUGCAUGUAAAUCGUGUAAAUACUAAAGCUGGGAUUCUCAGCAAACUCCCACCAAAUAGCUACCACCACCAGACGGAUCCUUUACAUCAUUGCAGAUGGACUUUAUAUGGCCACUUCCUCGAAGUAGGGUGUAUUCACAGGUCAAAUUAACACACCCCAGGAGAUAACCACAAGCACAGCCUGAGUCUGGGGGACUGAGUGUACAUCAAGGUCCACCAAGCCGGAGUGUUCGGACAACGCUGGUCCGGAGCCCCACACAGUACUACUCACCACGCCUACAGCAGUGAAAACUACAACCUCUCCUCAGUGGGUCCAUAUUUCUCAUGUGAAACGAGAUCCGGCUGACUAAGGGGUAAGCUGGAGGAGGAACUACUAGCAGAAGAGCUGGAGAAAAGGAGACUUGAGUAGGAGUUAUGUUCAGAAAAGUGUCAUAACAGCAUCCAUCUGUGUACUGAUAACUGUAUUCCUUGCACUAGCAGUAGUGAUUUAUGGGAACAAUGAUAAUUACCGCAUUUCAAGACAGUUAACCCUUGCUGUCCUCAAACUAAGGCACGCUGCCUGCUAAUUUUCCAUAGGCUAUGUUUCAACUGGUCAAUUUUACAGUUUGAAAUUAGGUGUGUUCCGCAUCCUCAUUAAUUCACAUAGAAGUAGCCCAUUUCACUGUGGCGGGCAACUUAGGUUUGAGGCACACUAUGCUAAUCAGUGGAGGCUGCUGAGGGGAGGACAGCUCAUAAUAAUGUCUGGGACAGUGCAUGGAAUGGAAACCAUGUGUUUUAUGUAUUUGAUACCAGUCCGCUAAUUCCGCUCUAGCCAUUACCACCAGCCCGUCCUCCCCAAUCAAGGUGCCAGCAACCACCUGUGAUGCAUAUGUAAGACAAGGAUAAGCUAGAUGAGCUGGAGAAACUUAUCUCUUGUGCGUCACCUGAGUGGGUUGAGUCACUGAUGUGAUCAUCCUGUCUGAGUUGGCGCCCCCCCCCCUUGGGUUGUGCCGUGGCGGAGAUCUUUGUGGGCUAUACUCAGCCUUGUCUCAGGAUGGUAAGUUGGUGGUUGAAGAUAUCCCUCUAGUGGUGUGGGGGCUGUGCUUUGGCAAAGUGGGUGGGGUUAUAUCCUUCCUGUUUGGCCCUGUCCGGGGUGUACCUCGGAUGGGGCCACAGUGUCUCCUGACCCCUCCUGUCUCAGCUUCCAGUAUUUAUGCUGCAGUAGUUUAUGUGUCGGGGGGCUAGGGUCAGUUUGUUAUAUCUGGAGUACUUCUCCUGUCCUAUUCGGUGUCCUGUGUGAAUUUAAGUGUGCUCUCUGAAAUUCUCUCUUUCUCUCUUUCUUUCUCUCUCUCGGAGGACCUGAGCCCUAGGACCAUGCCUCAGGACUACCUGACAUGAUGACUCCUUGCUGUCCCCAGUCCACCUGGCUGUGCUGCUGCUCCAGUUUCAACUGUUCUGCCUUAUUAUUAUACGACCAUGCUGGUCAUUUAUGAACAUUUGAACAUCUUGGCCAUGUUCUGUUAUAAUCUCCACCCGGCACAGCCAGAAGAGGACUGGCCACCCCACAUAGCCUGGUUCCUCUCUAGGUUUCUUCCUAGGUUUUGGCCUUUCUAGGGAGUUUUUCCUAGCCACCGUGCUUCUACACCUGCAUUGCUUGCUGUUUGGGGUUUUAGGCUGGGAUUCUGUACAGCACUUUGCGAUAUCAGCUGAUGUACGAAAAUAAAUAAAAUACAUUUGAUUUGAUUUGAUCUCUUCGAUGAGAGCCCAAUGGCCCAAGUACUCCACCAGUGUUUCGUCAGAUCAAAUGGGCAUACAUUUGUGCAUCUCCAGUGAGAACAGAACCUGCCUGAACUCUUCCCUUAGUGCAUUUUCCGGCUGGUGCCCACAUCACAUUCAUUGUUUUUUUCCUUACUAAUAAAUACUGUGUGUAUUCAUAUCAAAGUCAGUACCUUAUUACCUUAUCAUAAUACUGUUUCUGUAUAUCAUGUUAUGUAAUUUCUACUAUAGCAGACUGUAUUUAUGUAUGGGGCAUAAUGUAUUCUGUGUAUAUUCCUUUAUAACCGUGGACAAGCAAGGUACUGAUUUCAUAACCUUGAUUGUGUUAUAUUUAAUUUUGAUAAUGUGCUUGCAUUCAUCUAUUAGUUCUGUGAAACGAUGUUAACACUAAUGGCGUCAAAGAAGUAUUAUCUGGUGUUGUAUUUGGAAGCUGCCCUGGCCUUAUCAUGACCAUUGCAUUAGCCUGCAUUUGGCCUGUAUAGCUCUGCCCUGCCCCCUUGUGGAGCCCUUGUGGAGAUCAUCAGUUAUUAUGUUACAGGUAAUAUGUUUUUAUUGCUAUAUCCUAAUGUUGUAUUCGAAUUACUAAUCAUUCCUCUUUAUUCUGUACUUUCAGAAACCACACACACACAGUAUUUGCCAAUAUCAGAACUGGAACUGGACAUAUUUUGUGCUGAAGAUUGAGGACAGCUUUUGUAUGCUAGAAAUAUACUGUUUGGAGAGGGAGUAGGGAGGAUGAGGG